rnacentral:rRNA from 1 species
UACGUAGGGUGCGAGCGUUGUCCGGAAUUAUUGGGCGUAAAGGGCUCGUAGGCGGUCUGUCGCGUCGGGAGUGAAAACUCAAGGGCUUAACCCUGAGCCUGCUUCCGAUACGGGCAGACUAGAGGUAUGCAGGGGAGAACGGAAUUCCUGGUGUAGGCGGUGAAAUGCGCAGAUAAUCAGGAGGAACACCGGUGGCGAAGGCGGUCUCUGGGCAUUACCUGACGUGAGGAGCGAAAGCGUGGGGAGCGAACAGG